AAAACAUUUUACAUAAAUUGUAGAUCCUACUCAUUACCGGAGAUAAGAACAGUGUCGUGUGUAUGGACAUAUGCAAGCGCCGAAGGUCAGCAACACGUGUCGAUGCCGUGAUAAACGUUGCAGUAAACGGGGCAUAUAUACAAACCACAUCAUAAGCGAAAUUCACAACAACUUGAAAACGUUGUUAUCCAGUUUGAUAUUUAACAACACUUAAGGCUGUAAAUGAACCCUUCUUGGAUCUGUGUUGCCGUAGUCUGUAUGGUGACAGUAGGCAUGUCUGUCGGCGUCUGCGGGUGUUAUCACGACUACCAGCCAGUUUGCGGUGUCGAUGCAACGUAGAAAAGGCAUAUGACGGCGAGUGCCGUAAUCCACCGUGUCUGUGUUCAUCAACCAUCCCGUCCCCUGUGUGCGGCAACGACGGGCUGACCUAUAAAAAUGUGUGUCUGAUGACAUGCAACGGUGCGACUGAGGCUCAUCCGGGCAGUUGUUAUACGUGGUUUGAGAUCCUCCAAUACAAGUCGACGGAAACGGAAUUUUUAUUGCGUGCAAUAAAAUGUGAAGCAUUAUUAAAAUGUUGUUGUUUA